rnacentral:hammerhead_ribozyme from 1 species
AUCCAGAUGACGAGUCCCAAAUAGGACGAAACGCGCGUCCUGAAU